rnacentral:rRNA from 1 species
GAUGAACGCUGGCGGCGUGCCUAAUACAUGCAAGUCGAGCGGAAGGACGCGGAGCUUGCGUCUCUGAUGUUAGCGGCGGACGGGUGAGUAACGCGUGUAUAACCUACCUAUAAGACUGGGAUAACUUCGAGAAACCGGAGCUAAUACCGUAUGAGAUUUUGCACCGCAGGGUUCAAAGGUGAAAUACGGUGUUGCGGUCACGAAUAGAUGCUUCUCCGCUGCAUUAGCUAGUUGGUAAGGUAACGGCUUACGAAGGCAACGAUGCAUAGGCGAACUGAGAGGCUGAUCGGCCACACUGGAACUUAGACACCGUCAAUACUACUAAGGGAGGCACCAGUCGGGAACCUUACGCAACAGGCGAGAGCCUGACGGAGCAACGGCGCGUGAGUGAUGAAGGCCUUCGGAUCGUAAAACUCUGUUAUUAGGGAAGAACCUCUGUGUCAGUAAACGUGGCCAUCUUGACGGUACCUAAUAAGAAAGCCACGGCUAACUACGUG